UAUAGGAACUGCUUGAUCCACGGUUUGCGAUCCUGACGAAUCCGAUGUGUUAUUGCCUGUAGCUUCUCGAUAAAGAGCCACCUCGUACUCCAAACGUCCUGGAGUCUCUUCGACCACCCCGGAUACUCUCGCGCCAUGCGGACUGAAAAAUAGAGAAAUUACAGGACGUUUAAGCGUUUCUUAAAAUCUAACUAAAUCUAAUGGAUACUCACAAUGUGCCAGCGAAACCUGCAGCUUUGUGUCUCAAUAACGUUGGCUCGGGUGGUCGACACAUCAGGAUUAGUUCUUGGUCAGCUAGCAUUACCACGCCUGGAAAUGCUGGGAACCAUAUUCGCAGAAUGCCACAUCUGGAGAAGUCGGUCACCUUGAGGAAGUAGUUGUCUUCCUGAGGAUCGUUGGGAUCUGGUCUGAUCUGGCAAUGAAUAUCGUGAGCAGAUCGGCUGCUGAUCCUGCACCACUGCAUUGAAUGUCAGAGACUUCGUAGUCCUGGGCGACGGUGACUGCAACCUGUAACAGUACCACAUUAAGGCAUUCUCCAAGUACAUACUGUUUAUCGUUAGGGACAGCGUUGUUACAUCUCUGCUGACUUAUGAAGUACUCUUUUCCAAGUAGUUUGUUACAAUGUACAAAUAAUUUCUACAUCACAUGAAAAAACUGAAAGGAAAGUAUUCGUGUUAUUUUGAUAAAUAAUGUAUACCAUAAAUGUUACACGAAAUUAAACGGUACGAUAUAAAGGUCGUAUUAAUUUAAUUAUAAUUAACGCAGAUCACCUUCAAGAUUCCUUUUUAAGAUAUUAUUGCCUACUGUGGAGCUGCCUUCGACAAGAAGGAAGGUGACCAACAGAUGAGCGAGCAGAACAGAUUCCAAUGCGAGUAACGGUGUAAAGAAACGCUCUGAUGCCCGCCUAAAAUAUUCGUUAUGCGUGCCAUACAGGCUGCCCAUCGCACGGUCAGCCACACGGAUAAUCGUGGUACAGGUUAUGGUUACUUCUUCAAGGUAGGUCAGUCGAGAUUUCAAGAUUGGGCGAGUCAUACGGUAAACGCUGAUAAAAUCGUUUAUCAUAAAGGUAUAUUUAUUUAUAUAGAUAGAAAUAAUCCCCAUUAACAUAGAGAAAAUGUAUUUAUAUUCUAGUAUCUAAUUAUAAGGGUGUUAUAUGUAUAUAUGUUUAAAAUGUCUAUAGGUUGUCAGGGGCUGUAGCUAUGUUUAAUUUUGAAAUGUAGCUACAGUACGGGUUUAGCGAUCCCGAGGUAGCCGAGCUACAGGUGAACCAGUAGGCCUCAACGGACUCCUGACACUCCCAGAAAAUAAUGAAGACCUCUCACAACUCUUAUAGAUAAAACGUACUCAUUCAUUCACUCAAAUCAGGCUUGGGUAAUUCUGGUGGCGAGUAGAAAUUGGAAACUUGUCCAUUCCAGAAUUUAUCUAACAACGUUUGAUCGAAUACUUGAAUUUCAAUAUUCCUAUUCUCGCAGUUUAACAUUUCUACUUUUGGAAAUAAUACCAAACGUUCGCGGAAAUCUUGAGCGAAAAGAAAAGUAUGCGUAGCUGGUACCCACCGUGCAGAAUCCAGCGAUCAGGACGGUCAACAUGAUCUUCUUGAUCGUCCUCUUCACUAUCCUCGUUCUUGGUUCCCGAAGGCACAGAGAAACUAAAACACACUUUGAAGAAAAAAUCGCACUGUCGGGGAUGCAAUUUUGUCGAGGGUUCCCGGUGAACUGAGGCGCGUGUAUCACGUAAGAAUUCUCCCUUCCGUGGCAGAUUCCUUCAACGGGUACUGUCUUCUGGGAGGGGAGGAACGGAAAUCAAGGAAUCAGAGAACCACCG